GGUUGGGUAGCUCAGUUGGUAGAGCACUUGCCCGCGGAAGGCAAAGGUCCCGAGUUCGAGUCUCGGUCCGGCACA
rnacentral:tRNA from 1 species